rnacentral:tRNA from 1 species
ACUUUUAAAGGAUAAA